UUAAAUGAAUUGACGGGGAGCACCACGAACGGUGGAGCUUGCGGUUUAAUUGGAUUCAACGCCGGAAAUCUUACCGGGACCGACAGCAAUAUGAAGGCCAGGCUGAAGACUUUGCCGGAUUAGCUGAGAGGUGGUGCAUGGCCGUCGUCAGUUCGUACUGUGAAGCAUCCUGUUAAGUCAGGCAACGAGCGAGACCCACGCCCACAGUUGCCAGCGUACUCUCUGGAGUGACGGGUACACUGUGGGGACCGCCGCUGCUAAAGCGGAGGAAGGAAUGGGCAACGGUAGGUCAGUAUGCCCCGAAUAUCCCGGGCUACACGCGAGCUACAAUGGUUGGUACAAUGGGUAUCUACCCCGAAAGGGGAAGGAAAUCUCUUAAAGCCAAUCGUAGUUCGGAUUGAGGGCUGCAACUCGCCCUCAUGAAGCUGGAAUCCGUAGUAAUCGCGUUUCAACAGAACGCGGUGAAUACGUCCCUGCUCCUU
rnacentral:rRNA from 1 species